UGCGUAGGCGGUUAUUUAAGUAGGAUGUGAAAUCUCCCGGCUCAACCGGGGAACUGCGUUCUGAACUGGAUAACUUGAGUGAGAUAGAGGUGUGCGGAACUUCCGGUGGAGCGGUGAAAUGUGUUGAUAUCGGAGGGAACACCGUUGGCGAAAGCGGCACACUGGGUCUUAACUGACGCUGAGGCACGAAAGCCAGGGGAGCAAACG
rnacentral:rRNA from 1 species